rnacentral:rRNA from 1 species
GAUGAACGCUGGCGGCGUGCCUAAUACAUGCAAGUCGAUCGAACAGAUGAGUAGCUUGCUCUUCUGACGUUAGCGUCGGACGGGUGAGUAACACGUGGAUAACCUACCUAUAAGACUGGGAUAACUUCGGGAAACCGGAGCUAAUACCGGAUAAUAUAUUGAACCGCAUGGUUCAAUAGUGAAAGACGGUUUUGCUGUCACUUAUAGAUGGAUCCGCGCCGCAUUAGCUAGUUGGUAAGGUAACGGCUUACCAAGGCAACGAUGCGUAGCCGACCUGAGAGGGUGAUCAGCCACACUAGAACUGAGACAAGGUCCAGACUCCUACGGGAGGCAGCAGUAGGGAAUAAGACGCAAUGGGAGAAAGCCUGACGGAGAAACGACGAGAGAGUGAUGAAGGUCUUCGGAUCGAAAAACUCUGUUAUUAGGGAAGAACAAAUGUGAAAGUAACUAUGCACGUCUUGACGGUACCUAAUCAGAAAGCCACGGCUAACUAAGUG